UACGUAGGGGGCAAGCGUUGUCCGGAUUUAUUGGGCGUAAAGAGCUCGUAGGCGGCUUGUCACGUCGGGUGUGAAAGCCCGGGGCUUAACCCCGGGUCUGCAUUCGAUACGGGCAGGCUAGAGUGUGGUAGGGGAGAUCGGAAUUCCUGGUGUAGCGGUGAAAUGCGUAGAUAUCAGGAGGAAUACCUAUGGCGAAAGCAGGUAUCUGGGCCAUCACUGACGCUGAGCUGCGAAAGCUAGGGGAGCAAACAGG
rnacentral:rRNA from 1 species